GAGACGGAGCAAGUUCCGCCGGAAUUCGACAGUACGCUGGCGUUGAAGGUGAUCGAUCACAUAAGGCAUGAAACUCGAAGUAUUUUCUGAUAUACAUUUUGCUUCAUUUACUUUCACCUCCAAUUUGUUCAAUGAUUUUGUAAAUAUAGUGAAAGGUCAAAAGGUUAUACACAAUGACAACAAGAAGGAUUUUUACAUCAUUAUCGUGGUGUCCGGGCGGCUGGCUUAUGUACAUCUUGAUUAAUUACGCGGGUGACCUGCCACCUCCCACCAGCAACACGUACCAGACUUUUGGUGGUUUAUGUUGAUGCAAGUUUGGAUCAAAAGGUUCACAAGAGAGUAUUAUAAUGGUAGCCUUGAAGGCUAAUGGUGAUAUGCUUCAUAUCUAUGGUAGUCCAAUUCAUUUUGUGGGAG